CGACCAUAUUACAUAGAAACACCGGUUCCCAUACACAGAAGUUAAGCAACGUCGAGCCUGGCCAGUACCUAGAGGGGUGACCACUUGGAAAUAUCAGGU